AUACUCCUCCCUAAUUGAGUUUGAGCGGCAUCUCAAACACGCUUCAUCACCGGUAUCAUUCCAAAACCCUAAUUAUCGUAUAGGUGAUUCUCCGGCGAUCUCAAACACAAAAACUCUCAUCCACGAUAUUUAUCAUCUUCAACCCUUGCUAUUUAUCAUCUUUAUCAUCUUAAAAAACAUGAGAAGCCUUCCGCCCUUUCUCUCACACACUGUUCAAUCAAAACCCUCUUUCUCUUCUCUCACACCCACUUCAGAAAGAAACCCUAGCUUCCUGUAGCUUUUGCGCCUUCAACCUCAAAAACCCUAGAUCGCAAUUACAGACAACUAAUCAUCAGUUGACUGUGUCUAUGAUCUACACAAUCUUGAUGAAUUUUGGUAACGAUUAGGGCUCAAAAGUUCCACAUUUGAAGUUAAAAGGAGAACCGUGACACACGAAUUAAUAAUCGAAAACCAAUGGAUCUCCAGAUGAUGUGGCUGUGAAGAAGUCUGGGAGUAUUUCUUCAUUCGACUCUCAUAUGGAAUAUCGGUUUCUUUCCACUUCACAAUGUACAUAAACUCCACCUCAACUUCUUUGUUGGAUAAUCUUGACGGGUAUAGGUACGGAUAGGAUCUGAACUGGUCACAGGUCUUCAAUCAAGACCAAAUUAUCAUUCUUUAGGCGGUAAUCCACUUUACCUUUUAUAAUCAUAUGGUCAGAUCGGUAGUAGUGGCGGUGUUCUAUAAGUGACUAAUGGCUCUAAGGACUAUGGUUUGUUUUCCGGUCAUCUCCCCAUUUCCAGCGAGAAAAAGGUAAGCCGUGUCGUGUACACCUCAUCUUUUCGGUGAUUUGAAAGAAUUUUUGUUUAACGUGUAUGAUUCUGGGUUGCUCCCCAUUUUCGACGAGAAAAAAGUAUAAUUUUGAAGGAAGAUAUGAUUUGGUAAAGUUUGUAGAGUUGGUUCAGAAAGUUGGGAUGUAUAUGCAUCUAAGGAUUGGGCCAUUUGUUUGUGUAGAGUGGAAUUUUGGGUAAUUUUAUCAAGAAACACUUUGGGUUUGCCUGUUUGACUAAAGUAUGUUCAUGGAAACAGGUUUAGAACUGAUAAUGAACCUUUCAAGGUAUAUGUGCACUCUAGGAAAGGAAACUUAAGGAACUGAAUCCAGUCAUGAGAAAUAUUACUGAGGUGUCAUGUUGUGCUGCAAGCUUUUUUGUGAUUUGGGCAGGAAAAUGGAUGAGUAAAUACGGAUCCCGCGUGCAGCUCCAAGCCCGUUUUUUUUUACCCGGCUAUAUAAACCAUGUAAUAACCCUAUUCUCCUAAAUCGCCUCAUUCAACAACACUAUUCGGAGAAACACCAUCGCAAACACAAUCGCAUUUGUUGAUUCUUCUUCUUCUUCUAUACACCAUCACAUCUGUUGAUUAUUGAUAUGUGAACUACGAAGGGGUAUUCCGGAACGUAAAGGGGAUGAAGCAUUGUUGAAUCAAAAUUAAUUCUUGAUUUCCUUGAAAUCGGAUUGAUUUUUUUUUCUAAACCCUAGAUAUUGCCCUCAUCUUCCUUAUGGUUUAAGCAUCUGCAAUCUACACGAUUCAAGAUGGCAGUGACAGUUCAGAUGAGGUAAGCGAUUUGUUUCAAGAUUAAAUAUAAAGCACAAUUCAGAUGAGGUAAGAUCGAAUUGAAAUGGCUGUAAAUGGUGGAGGCUUUCAAGUGGCACUAGUAAAGGGGCUGAAGCGUCGGUUUCGUUUACACAAGCUAUCUUGACCAAACAUUUGCAAAUGGGAACUCGAUGCAAAAUUACAAUUUGGGUUAAUUAAAUGGGUCAAUGCACGCUUUUGGUGCAUUGGGAUCAACCGCUUCAGGAAUUCAAACACUAUCUGGCCCAUAAUUUUCUGUGGGGUCAUGAGCUUGCUGAUGUUAGAGGUGAUGUCAUUUUUUAAUUGAAACGCUUGAUUUGAAAGAAGAGACGAAAGCCUGCUGUGAAAUUUGUCCUCAAGUUUCUAAAUAUGUUUCAUAAUUGUCUUAGUGAGGGUUGAGAGUGGCAGAUGGGUGUUUGUUGAUGGUUCUGCACAUGCAAUUUAUGAGACUGGUACGCAAGACUAGAUACCACACAAGGGCCCACAUCAUUUGAGCUACUCUAGGCGUGUGAGUACUUCACAAAUUCUUAUUACAUCAUAUAUACUCUUUAACUAAGCAAGAUAAUUUUGGUGUGGUUGUGGUGAUCACUAAUCAAGUGGUGUCUCAGGUAGUGCUUGACUUUCAGAAGUCAAAAUGUUUGAUUGAUCAUUAAAGUUUUAACUUUUUUUGUAUGUAGGUGUGUGUGUAACUUUUAGUUGUAUGUUUGGAUAGGAUAACAGAGUUUUGAAGCUAAAAUGUGUUAGGCGUGACUCUUAUUCUCACUUUUCUUUACAUAUGAUAGUAGGUUCUUUUCAAGUAAAGAAAUUGGGGGUACAUAACUUCUUCUUUUUCUAAAGGUGGAUUAAGGCCUCUAAUUUUUACCAUCCAUUGUAAAAUUUCAGCUUGUGGUAAUGGCCCCUAUUUUUUAUUUAUUUGUUUUUACUAUUGCCUUAGAGUUGUUCUCAAGCUGAUGGGAUGAUGGGUUUAGUUGCCUAAUAAAUUAAUCAAGACAUCGAGUAUACAAUGACUAAAAGUUUGUGUUAUCGAAGUUAAGUAGCAACUAUGUAUUAUUUGUAACGUGUUUUAUGGGGGUAGCCAUAUUAGGUAUACAAGAGAGUUAUUACUAUCUAAGGGGUUUUAUUUCAAAUGACACUGAACCAAAUGCAUAGAUGCAAAUAGCUUUUUGUUUGUGCGGAUAAAGAUAUCCAGUUGACCCCAAACAUCUUUCUUUUCUGACUUGGUAUACUCUUGGAUCUCAUAGAAUCCCAGACAUUUGAUUUCAUUUAAGAAUUAAGAUGAAAAAAUAGAAAAGGAAAAUUUAAAACUGGAUGUAUGGCCACAAGAAUUAUUUAUACCGAAUAUGAUAAUACUAUUUUUAAAAUACAUAUGUUAAAAUGUUUUUUACUCUAUAAAAUACAAUCUUUGCAAAUCUAGGACCAAUGUUUCCUUUGAGCACUUUUUCCAUGAUCGGAAAUUAAAACUUGACCCGAUCUAGGCCAUGGUUUAAAAAAAAGGCCGAGGCGUCGGUACUGAGGCACGCCUCAAGGCGGAACGGAGGAAAUCGUAUACGAAGCGGCGCCUCAGAUAUAGAUAUUAUACGUACGCCUCAGUGGUAUAGAUAUUACACUCCUAUUUAAAUUCAUUUUUAGUAAUUCUUCACAGGUUUUAGUUUCAUAUUUUAGUUUCAUGUCUUCAUGCUUGGGAACCUAACUUCUCAGUUUAGGAGAGCUUAUUAUAGGGAAAAAGACUGCCUUUUAUGAGUUCAAUCUACACAUCUUCUAAGCACAUCGUUAUUGCUAUAUCUCAAGGUUAUCAUGAAUAAAGAUGGCACAUUGCGGGCAACUUCUGGUGUUGAGGAUUUGGCAUUGCUGAAGACAACAUAAGUUUUUGGAGAGGGAAGUGAUCAUUCUGUUCGGUUAUGGGUUUGUACCGGUUAGGGUCCUGUAUUGCCUGUUUGGGACCUGUUUCAACCCUUAGACGUGAAGCCUAAGUUUGGAAAGGCCUAGAACAAAAGUGAUGAUCUACAUGGGCUUCAAUGCCAGAACAUAUUAUAUGUUUGUGUUAAGCCACCCGCGAAACUCGCGGGAUCUUAGGCUAGUCUACAAAUAGAAACGAAGUUGUUUUCAUGGUUUGAAAAUGACGUUUUCUUGAGCUUUAGAAGUGCCAUAGCCUAUGGAUGACCGUACCUGGCAGAUAACACGGUUGUGAUCAAUGAUUCUCUUCAAGGGUCGAGGAUCAAAGCAAAUUUUUUAGGAACUCGCCUACAAAGGGAACCUAGAAUCACACCAUGUUAAUUAUCGCUAAAUAACAUUUUGUUGUAUUUGUUGUUGUUACUGUAUUUGAAUCAAACCUGUUGUAUUUGUGAUCUAUGUUAGUUAUUGUAUUUAUAAAAUUUAAAAAAGUUGUUCCA